ACUCCUACGGGAGGCAGCAGUGGGGAAUAUUGCACAAUGGGCGCAAGCCUGAUGCAGCCAUGCCGCGUGUAUGAAGAAGGCCUUCGGGUUGUAAAGUACUUUCAGCAGUGAGGAGGUGGUAUGUAUAGCAUACUCAUUUGACGUUAGCUGCAGAAGAAGCGAACCGCUAACUCCGUGCCAGCAGCCGCGGUAAUACGGAGGGUGCGAGCGUUAAUCGGAAUUACUGGGCGUAAAGCGCAUGCAGGUGGUUUGUUAAGUCAGAUGUGAAAGCCCGGGGCUCAACCUGCAGG
rnacentral:rRNA from 1 species